ensembl:misc_RNA Metazoa_SRP Metazoan signal recognition particle RNA
GCCAGGUGUGAUGGUACAUGCUUGUAGUCCUCUCCUCCUGUGGACACUGAAGCUGGUAGAUUACUUGAAUUCAGGAGUUCUGAAAUACAGUGAGCUAUGCAGGUUGGGUAUCCACACAAAGUUUGACACAAAUGGGGAAUCCCUGGGGAAAAGGAGCCAGCGGGCUGUCUAAGGAGGGUGAAACUACCCAUGUCAGAAUCAAAGCAGGUAAAAGUUUCUAUGCCAAUCAGUAGUGGGGUCAGGCCCAUAAGUGGUUACUGCACUUCCUGUCUGGAUGAGAUAGUGAGAUCUAUGACUU